rnacentral:rRNA from 1 species
GAUGAACGCUGGCGGCGUGCCUAAUACAUGCAAGUCGAGCGGAAAGGCCAUGCUUUUGCGCCGUUCUCGAUUGCCGAAAGGGGGUGUAAAACGCGAGUAACCUGCCCCUGUCUUUGGGAGAAAACUAGGAAACAGGGGCUAUAAUACGGGAGGAGCUACUGCUGCAUGGUGGGGGAUGGUAAGUGUCGGCGGUUCGGGCUCGACUCGCGGCUUAUCAGCUUUUUGGGGGGGUAGGGGCUGCCCAAGGUUUUGACGGGUAGCCGACCUGAGAGGUUGACCGGCCACAUUGGGACUGAGAUACGGCCCAGACUCCUACGGGAGGCAGCAGUGGGGAAUAUUGCACAAUGGGCGGAAGCCUGAUGCAGCAACGCCGCGUGCGGGAUGACGGCCUUCGGGUUGUAAACCGCUUUCGCCUGUGACGAAGCGUGAGUGACGGUAAUGGGUAAAGAAGCACCGGCUAACUACGUG